GACGAACCACACAAACGUUAUUCGGAAUUACUGGGCUUAAAGGGUGCGUAGGCGGCGCAGCAAGUAGGGUGUGAAAUCCCUCGGCUCAACCGAGGAACUGCGCCCUAAACUACUGUGCUCGAGGGAGGUAGAGGUGAGCGGAACUUAGGGUGGAGCGGUGAAAUGCGUUGAUAUCCUAAGGAACACCGGUGGCGAAAGCGGCUCACUGGACCUCUUCUGACGCUGAGGCACGAAAGCUAGGGUAGCGAACGGG
rnacentral:rRNA from 1 species